GACGAACGCUGGCGGCGUGCUUAACACAUGCAAGUCGAACGGAAAGGCCCUGCUUUUGUGGGGUUCUCGAGUGGCGAACGGGUGAGUAACACGUGAGUAACCUGCCCUUGACUUUGGGAUAACUUCAGGAAACUGGGGCUAAUACCGGAUAGGAGCUCCUGCUGCAUGGUGGGGGUUGGAAAGUUUCGGCGGUUGGGGAUGGACGCGCGGCUUAUGAGCUUGUUGGUGGGGUAGUGGCUUACCAAGGCUUUGACGGAUAGCCGGCCUGAGAGGGUGACCGGGCACAUUGGGACUGAGAGACGGCGCAGACUCCUACGGGAGGCAGCAGUGGGGAAUAUUGCACAAUGGGCGGAAGUCUGAGGCAGAGGCGUCGCGUGCGGGAUGAAGGCCUUCGGGUUGUGAACCGCUGUCGCCUGUGACGAAGCGUGAGUGACGGUAAUGGGUAAAGAAGCACCGGCUAACUACGUG
rnacentral:rRNA from 1 species